GCCCAAAACUAAGCCGACCUAACACCCAAAACCCCACCAAUCCUCAAUCAAAACAUUUACCCCGGCCAGUAAAUGAGAUUAAACACCAACAACCGGCCCCUCAAGUACCGCAAGGGAACAAUGAAAGAAUAAUGAAAAAAUUUAAGCACAACACAGCAGAGAUAUACCCCUGUACCUCCUGCAUCAUGGUCUAGCAAAACCUCCCAGACAAAGAGAGCCUUUAGCCUGCUCCCCCGAAACCAAACGAGCUAUUUUUAAGCAGCUACCAAACCCCCCAGAGCGCACCCAUCCCUGUAGCAAAAGGGUGGGAAGACUUAAAAAUAGAGGCAAAAAGCCAACCGAGCUUGGUGAUAGCUGGCUACUCAACAAAAGAGUUUAAGCUCAACUUUAGGCACUUAUGAGCCACCAUUUAAUAAAACUCUUCCUGUUAAACCUAAAGAAAAUCAAUGGGGGUUCAGCCCCAUUGAACCGGGAUACAGCCCGAAAUGAGAGACCCCCCCCCCAUUUUUUUAUUUGUAGGCUUCAAAGCAGCCACCAAAAAUCGCGUUAUAGCAUAUUUACUAAACAAUUUUAAUAACUUAAUAACCCUCCUAACUUACAACGAGUCAUUCUAUACUACUAUAGAAACACCAAUGCUAAAAUUAGUAAUAAGAAACACUCAUUUCUCUUCUGCACCCCUUUAAGUCAGAUUAGAAAAACUACUGACAAUUAACAAACCAAAUAAACACACACUCCACCAAGCCCUAAUGUUACUAAAAACUUGUUACCCCCACACAGGCGUGCAAAAAAGAAAGACAAAAACCCACAAAAGGAACUCGGCAAGACUUAGUCCCAACUGUUUACCAAAAACAUAGCCUUUAGCCUCACAAGUAUUAAAGGUCUCGCCUGCCCAGUGACUCUUUAAACGGCCGCGGUAUCCUAACCGUGCAAAGGUAGCAUAAUCACUUGUCCCUUAAAUAGGGACUGGAAUGAAUGGCUAAAUGAGGACUAAACUGUCUCUUAUGGGUUGUCAAUGAAAUUGAUUUUCCAGUACAAAAGCUGGAAUAAGCACAUAAGACGAGAAGACCCUGUGGAGCUUCAAAACCAAGUUCAUCAACCAAUGUUUCCUUGGAUUUUUAGUUGGGGCGACUUUGGAGUACAAAAAACCCUCCAAAACAUGUUAAACCAAUAAAAUUAAGAACAACAAGCCAAAAACUACAAAAGACCCAGCAAUCAACCCCCUGUUUGUCUGACCAAUGAACCAAGUUACCCCAGGGAUAACAGCGCUAUCCCCUUCUAGAGUCCCUAUCGACAGGGGGGUUUACGACCUCGAUGUUGGAUCAGGACACCCCAAUGGUGCAGCCGCCAUUAAAGGUUCGUUUGUUCAACGAUUAAAGUCCUACGUGAUCUGAGUUCAGACCGGAGAAAUCCAGGUCGGUUUCUAUCUAUGGAGCACUACCUUUAGUACGAAAGGACCAAGAUAGUAGGACCUAUACCAAAAGAAUGUCCUAACUAAAACUACUGAGAAACCCUAAAGUAGUAAACAACCUACCCCCCUUAACCAAAAUCAGGUUUA
rnacentral:rRNA from 1 species